rnacentral:misc_RNA from 1 species
ACACCUCAUUAGCACUGUAAAGAUAAC